rnacentral:lncRNA from 1 species
UCUUUGAUCCUUGAAAUCCCGCCUAAAUGAUUAGCCAAUAACCCUAGUUCAUUGAUAUAAAUAUUAGCAUACUGCACUGAUUUUAGGGAAGUUUUUUCCAGUCCCAAUAGCAUCUUAAGCGACUUCUUGUUUGCUCUAAAUAUCACCCUUAUUCUUUUUCGAUCUCGUCCACCACUCGGGUUUCAAGCCUGCUAGAGUUCAUAUUGGUUCGAAUAUAGACCUUUGAUCGCAACUCCCGUUCACUGCCCUGCAAUAGGUGAUAUUCGCCUCCUCCUCCUCUCUGUUUUCUUCNN